UACGUAGGGUGCAAGCGUUGUCCGGAAUUAUUGGGCGUAAAGAGCUCGUAGGCGGUCUGUCGCGUCUGCUGUGAAAACCUAGGGCUUAACUCUGGGCGUGCAGUGGGUACGGGCAGGCUAGAGUGCGGUAGGGGAGACUGGAAUUCCUGGUGUAGCGGUGAAAUGCGCAGAUAUCAGGAGGAACACCGGUGGCGAAGGCGGGUCUCUGGGCCGUAACUGACGCUGAGGAGCGAAAGCGUGGGGAGCAAACAGG
rnacentral:rRNA from 1 species